rnacentral:rRNA from 1 species
UACGGAGGUUGCAAGCGUUAUCCGGAUUUAUUGGGUUUAAAGGGUGCGUAGGCGGGAAAAUAAGUCAGUGGUGAAAUCCUGUCGCUUAACGAUAGAACUGCCAUUGAUACUGUUUUUCUUGAGUGUAGUUGAGGUGGGCGGAAUGUGUAAUGUAGCGGUGAAAUGCUUAGAUAUUACACAGAACACCGAUUGCGUAGGCAGCUCACUAAACUAUAACUGACGCUGAGGCACGAAAGCGUGGGGAUCAAACAGG